rnacentral:rRNA from 1 species
GACGAACGCUGGCGGCGUGCUUAACACAUGCAAGUCGAACGGAAAGGCCCUGCUUUUGUGGGGUGCUCGAGUGGCGAACGGGUGAGUAACACGUGAGUAACCUGCCCUUGACUUUGGGAUAACUUCAGGAAACUGGGGCUAAUACCGGAUAGGAGCUCCUGCUGCAUGGUGGGGGUUGGAAAGUUUCGGCGGUUGGGGAUGGACUCGCGGCUUAUCAGCUUGUUGGUGGGGUAGUGGCUUACCAAGGCUUUGACGGGUAGCCGGCCUGAGAGGGUGACCGGCCACAUUGGGACUGAGAUACGGCCCAGACUCCUACGGGAGGCAGCAGUGGGGAAUAUUGCACAAUGGGCGGAAGCCUGAUGCAGCAACGCCGCGUGCGGGAUGACGGCCUUCGGGUUGUAAACCGCUUUCGCCUGUGACGAAGCGUGAGUGACGGUAAUGGGUAAAGAAGCACCGGCUAACUACGUGCCAGCAGCCGCGGUGAUACGUAGGGUGCGAGCGUUGUCCGGAUUUAUUGGGCGUAAAGGGCUCGUAGGUGGUUGAUCGCGUCGGAAGUGUAAUCUUGGGGCUUAACCCUGAGCGUGCUUUCGAUACGGGUUGACUUGAGGAAGGUAGGGGAGAAUGGAAUUCCUGGUGGAGCGGUGGAAUGCGCAGAUAUCAGGAGGAACACCAGUGGCGAAGGCGGUUCUCUGGGCCUUUCCUGACGCUGAGGAGCGAAAGCGUGGGGAGCGAACAGGCUUAGAUACCCUGGUAGUCCACGCUGUAAACGGUGGGUACUAGGUGUGGGGUCCAUUCCACGGGUUCCGUGCCGUAGCUAACGCUUUAAGUACCCCGCCUGGGGAGUACGGCCGCAAGGCUAAAACUCAAAGGAAUUGACGGGGCCCCGCACAAGCGGCGGAGCAUGCGGAUUAAUUCGAUGCAACGCGUAGAACCUUACCUGGGUUUGACAUGGAUCGGGAGUGCUCAGAGAUGGGUGUGCCUCUUUUGGGGUCGGUUCACAGGUGGUGCAUGGCUGUCGUCAGCUCGUGUCGUGAGAUGUUGGGUUAAGUCCCGCAACGAGCGCAACCCUUGUUCACUGUUGCCAGCACGUUAUGGUGGGGACUCAGUGGAGACCGCCGGGGUCAACUCGGAGGAAGGUGGGGAUGGCGUCAAGUCAUCAUGCCCCUUAUGUCCAGGGCUUCACGCAUGCUACAAUGGCUGGUACAGAGAGUGGCGAGCCUGUGAGGGUGAGCGAAUCUCGGAAAGCCGGUCUCAGUUCGGGUUGGGGUCUGCAACUCGACCUCAUGAAGUCGGAGUCGCUAGUAAUCGCAGAUCAGCAACGCUGCGGUGAAUACGUUCCCGGGGCU